rnacentral:rRNA from 1 species
GACGAACGCUGGCGGCGUGCCUAAUACAUGCCAGUCGAACGCAUUUUCUUUCACCGUAGCUUGCUACACCGAAAGAAAAUGAGUGGCGAACGGGUGAGUAACACGUGGGUAACCUGCCCAUCAGCGGGGGAUAACACUUGGAAACAGGUGCUAAUACCGCAUAAUUCCAUUUACCGCAUGGUAGAUGGAUGAAAGGCGCUUUUGCGUCACUGAUGGAUGGACCCGCGGUGCAUUAGCUAGUUGGUGGGGUAACGGCCUACCAAGGCUGCGAUGCAUAGCCGACCUGAGAGGGUGAUCGGCCACACUGGGACUGAGACACGGCCCAGACUCCUACGGGAGGCAGCAGUAGGGAAUCUUCGGCAAUGGACACAAGUCUGACCGAGCAACGCCGCGUGAGUGAAGAAGGGUUUCGGAUCGUAAAACUCUGUUGUUAGAGAAGAACAAGGAUGAGAGUGGAAAGUUCAUCCCUUGACGGUAUCUAACCAGAAAGCCACGGCUAACUACGUG